GAAAUCCCUCCUCGCAAUUCUCACUUAGCGCGCAGUUGACCACUCAUUUUAUCUUAUUUUUAAAUGGAAGUUUAUUUGUCUCGAUGAUCAGGGUGAUUUGUUUUCUGUUCAAUCAUCCUUUCCUUGACACAAUUAAAAGUUAUUCAACGUAGAGGCGUACAUGUAAAUAAUUCGAGUGAUUUACAAUUAGAAAUAUUGGUCCGUUCGAGCGAUAAUUAAUUAUAUAACUCACUUUGGAUAUUUAUAUAUAUAGCCACGGUACGAUCAAAGAAUAUAUAAGAAAAUCUUAGGGUACUCAAUUUUACUGUUGUUAGAAUUUUCUUGUAAUGAAAAAAUAUUUCAGAGGAAUUUUAAAAUUCGUUGUAAUCGAUUACACGAGAUGUGCAUUUUAUGCUUGCAAAUGGCACGAGGUAUAUUUUUCGCGUGUUUGUAUGCAGAUAAGUGAUGUAUUAUAAAAGUGGAUUCAUAGAAACGCGAGGCAACCGAGAAUCGCUGUGGAAAAUCCACUUUCGAUCCUGACUACACGGCGAAGGAUGAGAAGGGAACUUUAUUUAUGAAAGGCUAUUCUUGAGGAAACGCAUACGAACCGAUACGAUCGCCUUUGAGUUGUGAACGAACGACAGCCGAUAUCAAUCAGGCUACGAAGCGCAUUAAUUGUAUUUUCAGUUUCCGUACCAUCCAAUUAAAAGUUCGUUUAUACCGAUUGACCAUUUUACACAGUUCAAAAUUAUUCCAUGGUUACUAUGCAUUUCUUUAUUUGUAUUCUAUGCAGCAGGUGAACGACGAUGCAAGACAGGUUUCAAGGAGUCGUGCGUGAAUUUGUGCCAUCGACGAUUUACAGGAGAAGUUUUAUCUACUCAUGGUCUCAUUUGCAUAAUUGUGCGCUUAAAGUUAACGUGAAUUAGACGAGUUGGAAAAACCUAAUUUAUUCGUCUUUUGAUUAUUGCCUUUAUUGAUUAUUGAAUACAUUUAUUUGUCGAUGAGGAAAUAGUGUUUGUAAUUAAAAGAUAUAAGGUUGCAUAUAUUUCAAAGUUAGCGAGAACUAAUCGAGUUGGAAGAAUCCUGAUUAGAUUAUUUUCACUUUCUACGCGAGGUUUAAUAUCUUUAUCAAUAUCUUUCUACAAAUACUUUUCGAAUUUUUUUGAAGAUAAAAGAAUGAUGUCUAUAAGUAAGAGAAAUAAGAUUGGAGAUUUAUAUUAUCUUGAGUCAACUGUUUCUAGGAAGGUUUACGAAGUCGAGGCUGAGGUCUGAAUAAAAAAAGAAUAAUGAUAGACGGAGCAAUUUUUUCUUAUUUCACGCACCGAACUUUCACAGCUAAACAGGUUUUAUACUACUGUCAAAUUAAGAUCCAGCAGGAUGUUCAUGCAGAUGUUUCUAUUGUAAUAAAAAUGACAAUGCAUAAUUUUUGAUUGAUGACUGUAAUUUGCGAAGAAUCUUGUUAUUUCCGACUUUUUCUUAUUUUAAAAUAACGAUGAAAGAUAAUGUUAAAAAGUUA